UGCAGUGGGAUUCCUAGGUCAGCAGCCCGUUUAACAGCUGCCUUCCCUUUUCUCCUUCUCAGUAACUGGCCCCUUACCCAGCUGAGGGCUACCCGCUUUAGGGACAGAUGACCCAGCACCCCCGCCUCGUGCAGACUCCACCAGCCUGGCUGUCCUCACUGUAUCAUGGUCAUCCCAUCAGGCUGUGAAAGGAGGAAGUGGACUUUGGGGAUCCUGUGGUCUCGCCUGCCCACUCCUGAUUCCACUAUUGCACCUCCUGGAUGUCUCUAAUGUGAUCUACCUGGACGUGAACUCUGUGACAAGGUGCCAGGGGCUCGGUGCAGGCAGGCACGGGUGUUCCUCUCUAUUACAGCCUCCCACCCUGGGGAAGGGCUGUCCUCAGGACUCUUGCUGUGGGUGCUGCUUGGGCAUUAUCUGGAGUUUCACAUCUGGAAAUGCUGGAACCUGGUUUUGAACUUCAGGCCGUGCAGGAAAGGGAAGGCAUGCUGGGCAGAUGAGGAAUGAGGGGGUCUCGGCUAACCAGAGGUGGGGGCUGAGGUCUGUCCAGGUCACGCUUUGCAGACAAGGGGGCUUGCCAGGCAGAUGGCAGUGACGUGCCUGCCCAUCCAUACAGAAAACAGGCUUCGGGAACACCGGGAAGCCUUCACACAAACCAGGGUGCUCCUUUCAAAGCCAUGCCAAUUUUUGCCCAACCACCAGCAGGCACUCCCUUGGCCCCAAAACUUUGGGGACUCUAUCUGGGAGUUCAUGUUUCACAACACUGCAGAUCUGACAUACAUAUGGAGGCUGAGGCCAGGACCAAGGCCUCAACUUUCACCUCCACUGUCACCAGCCCAUCCUCCACCCACGGCUCGCUGCCAUAAACACUGGCCCUCCAAGCUGUGUUUGCCGCAGCUCUCUGCAGCCUGGGGCUGGAACUUGGGCACUCUUUGCUCCUGCUCCUUGCUGGCGCCUGGGCAAUCUUUAUCAGGGUUGCUGUGUUUGCUGUUCCUGCUGUUGGUUUCUUGUUGACUUUUGUGGAACCUGGUUCUCCUCCUCCUCUGAGGUCUCUUUUCUUCACUCUAGAGUUCCUUUUUCUUCCUUUUCUUCAGGGUUGCAAAGCGAUUUAGUGACAGAAUAGGGACUGGAAUGCAGGCCUCCUACAGUACAUGCUGUGUAUGCAUGUGUGUGGGUGUGGACCAUGGCUCUGUGGGCCUUUGCAGCAUGGGUUACAGCAGUCACAGGACCUUUCUUCAAGAAGGUGAAUUUUUUUGUUUGAGACAGGGUCUUGCCCUGUCACCCAGGCUGGAGUGCAGUGGCAUGAUCUCGGCUCACUGCAGCCUCCACCUCCCAGGUUCAAGUGAUUCUCAUGCCUCAGCCUCCCAAGUAGCUGGGAUUACAGGGGUGUACCACCAUGUCCAGCUAAUUUCUGUAUUUUUUGUAGAGAUGGGGUUUCAUCAUGUUGGCCAGGCUGGUCUCGAACUCCUGAACUCAGGUGAGCCAUUCACCGUGGCCUCCCAAAGUACUGGGAUUACAGGCGUGAGCCACCGCGCCUGGUGAGAAUGUGAAUUUGAGUUGGGUCUUCGAGAAUGGGUAAGAUUUGACUGGAGGAUGGGAGGGGGCUUCUCACUGAGGAGAUCACGCCCUCCUGGGGAAGGCAGAUGGGCUGGGACCAGGCUUACUUUGAGGUGCUCAGACGGGCCUUCAUCCUGGCCCAGCAUGGACCCUGUGGCUUUGCAUGACCUUUUCUCCCUGAAUCUCUGUCCCAUGUGUGUUGCUCAGGGACUCCGGGGAAGGAUCAGAGUGGGCAGGGCUGGUGUGGUGGCCACCUGGGCACAGGGGCCCUUCCUGCCUCUGAGAUAGCCCUGAAUUCUCUCCCCGGCCCCACUCGCUCCUCUCCCUGACACAGAAAUGAGACACUGAAGAAGUCCCUUGCCCAGCGUCAUGCAGGGACCUCUCCUUUCUUGGACUCAAUCUCCUCAUCUAUGAGAAUAUUAAUUUUGGUUUGUUAUUAUGUGCCAAACACUGGGCUAAGAACUUCCUGCUUAUUUAAUCCUUAAAACAGCUAGAGGCCAUGACAUUGCUAUUCCCAUUUUAUAGAUGAGGAAAGUGAGGUCCAGAGGUAUGAUGCAACUUGCCUAGGGUCACACAGAUACCCUCCAGAUAGGAGGGUGGGGACCCUGCCCAGGUACCCAGGGCAGCUCAAGUCAGACACCUGCCUCAGAGCUUUUCUCUUUGUUUUUAUUUUAAAGGAAAAAAACAACAACAAAAAAAACCCCAAAACAACAACAAAAAAAACAGUGCAAAAACCCAUUUUCCAGUGUCAGCCUUGCCCACCCCCACCCCCAGGCCACCCCAGCUCUGAGCCUGACUCUUCCUCCCACUCAGCACCCCUCCCCUCUCAUGCAUCCCCUAGGGGCUGGAGGCUCCACUUCCCUGGAGGGCUGGAUCCCAGGAGGAACUGUGGGGUGGAAAAAACCGGGGCGGCGGGCGGCGGGGACAGCCCCAGAUCCACCUGUCCCCCAGGUCUCCAGCCACCAGCACCAGGCGCACCGGGUACUCCUCUCGGCUCUCAUUAACCCUUUCCUGGUCAUGCUACUAGCUGGGGAGGGGUGGGGGGUGCUGAUCUGGGGGAACUCCCUCUGCACCCCUCUUUGCCCCGGGGCCGGCUCGGGGCUCUCCUCACUGAGGUUGGGGGGCUCCCUGCCUCCCUCCAUCAUGGGGGAGAGCGGUGAAAUCCCCAGGUUUAAAUACCUUAAUGAAAGCAGGGGCUGGGGAGAAAGGGGCUUUAGAUCUAAUAAAUUA